GAUGAACGCUGGCGGCGUGCCUAAUACAUGCAAGUCGAGCGAACGGACGAGAAGCUUGCUUCUCUGAUGUUAGCGGCGGACGGGUGAGUAACACGUGGAUAACCUACCUAUAAGACUGGGAUAACUUCGGGAAACCGGAGCUAAUACCGGAUAAUAUUUUGAACCUCAUGGUUCAAAAGUGAAAGACGGUCUUGCUGUCACUUAUAGAUGGAUCCGCGCUGCAUUAGCUAGUUGGUAAGGUAACGGCUUACCAAGGCAACGAUGCAUAGCCGACCUGAGAGGGUGAUAGGCCACACUGGAACUGAGACACGGUCCAGACUCCUACGGGAGGCAGCAGUAGGGAAUCUUCCACAAUGGGCGAAAGCCUGACGGAGCAACGCCGCGUUAGUGAUGAAGGUCUUCGGAUCGUAAAACUCUGUUAUUAGGGAAGAACAUAUGUGUAAGUAACUGUGCACAUCUUGACGGUACCUAAUCAGAAAGCCACGGCUAACUACGUG
rnacentral:rRNA from 1 species